rnacentral:rRNA from 1 species
ACCUUACCAGGUCUUGACAUCCAUGUAAAGCUGCGGAGAAGCAGUGUGAGCAAGCGGGAGAUGAGACAGGUGGUGCAUGGUUGUCGUCAGCUCGUGUCGUGAGAUGUUGGGUUAAGUCCCGCAACGAGCGCAACCCUUGCCGGUAGUUACUAACGGGAAGAGCCGGGGACUUUACCGGGACCGCCGGGGACAACUCGGAGGAAGGUGGGGAGGACGUCAAAUCAUCAUGCCCCUUAUGACCGGGGCUACACACGUGCUACAAUGGCCGAGACAAAGGGCGGCGAACGCGCGAGCGGGAGCGAAUCUCAAAAAAGCGGUCACAGUUCGGAUUGCGGGCUGCAACCCCCCCCCAUGAAGCAGGAGUUGCUAGUAAUCGCGAAUCAGCAUGUCGCGGUGAAUACGUUCCCGGGUCUUGUACACA